UUUCAACAACGGAUCUCUUGGUUCUGGCAUCGAUGAAGAACGCAGCGAAAUGCGAUAAGUAAUGUGAAUUGCAGAAUUCAGUGAAUCAUCGAAUCUUUGAACGCACAUUGCGCCCGCCAGUAUUCUGGCGGGCAUGCCUGUUCGAGCGUCAUUACAAC
rnacentral:rRNA from 1 species